UACAGAGGUCUCAAGCGUUGUUCGGAUUCAUUGGGCGUAAAGGGUGCGUAGGUGGCGUGGUAAGUCGGGUGUGAAAUUUCGGAGCUUAACUCCGAAACUGCAUUCGAUACUGCUGUGCUUGAGGACUGGAGAGGAGACUGGAAUUUACGGUGUAGCAGUGAAAUGCGUAGAGAUCGUAAGGAAGACCAGUGGCGAAGGCGGUCUGCUGGGCAGUUUCUGACACUGAGGCGCGACAGCGUGGGGAGCAAACAGG
rnacentral:rRNA from 1 species